rnacentral:lncRNA from 1 species
GAACUAACGACAUCUCCAGAAAAGUAACGCUCCAGAACAUCUGUUCUCUCUCUCUCUCUUUGCUCUCAAGUUUGUACUGCAAUGUGUUUUCUUCCGUCAAUCGUAUUUUCUGGUGGGUAUCCCUUCUACCAUCUCUUGAUUCGUCUUUAUCUGUAUCUCUUGAUUCAUGUUUAUCUAUAUUUGUCUUGAGAAAUAUUUGAGAAAAUUCUUGAACGAAUACCAUUUCUAUUGAAGUUCUCUAGGUGUUUGAGAAAAUUCUUCAAUGAAUUACCCUAAUUUCUUAUGCAUAUUUCUGUUUUCUCUAUUAUUUAUGUGUUUGAAAAAAUACUUGAACAACCAAACUUAUCAGUUGAGUUAGCAAGGACGAGGUGACCGCUUCAAUUACUAACUAUUUGCUAUGUUUUUCUUCUCACUUCUACUAUGUUUUUUGUUGGUCGUAUAUAUCAUCAAAUACCUUUGUUUCUUUGUUCGAUCUCUGACCUCUUCAUUUGUUAUCUUUGUUCUCUGUCAAUUAAUUUUCCAAUUAUUAGCUUAUGCGCUUCUUGUUUUCUCAGUUGUGCGCUGAGGUUGUUUCAAUUGCUUUCUGUCGGUUUAUUUGGCGAUAACUGGGGUAUUUGGGGCUUUGACAUAUUUCUCAGAUGCUGACGACCUGUAUGUAUUUGAGACGGAUUCUUUUGCUAUUUCCAUAAUGCAUAGACUGUUUUGGCAUAUUUUUUUAUAAUUAAUUUUUGCCUCUAUAAACUAUCAACUUGGUGGUUAAAUAAAACUAGCUUUUCGAUUUAUUGACAGUAAAAAAUCAACUUAAGAUGACCUUAGAGAUGCACUUUGCUGGGAUUGUCUAUAGUACAAUCGGUAGGAUGUUAACCUAGAAGCGUGUUAAAAGAUUACAUUUCCUCUGCGCUUGGGAUAAUUAGAUUCAAAGAGCUAUUUAUAUGAACUCACUAUUAGAUUGAAAUAAUUACUGAUCCAAUCAGUUCGGAAUUGAGUAGUUGAUUGCUUGAUUUGUAUUGAAGGUAUGUCAAAGAGAUGCUAUAAAAUCUGAUGAGUUUUACUCCUCAAAAUUUUACAAUUGGCUGGACAAUUUCCAGAUCUUCUUUAACCUCUUCAUCAUUUUCUUGCAACUAUUAUGAAUGUACUAAUAAUUGACAUCAUAUAUAUUUGAUAGAAACUAAGUGAUCCUGUUUAUAAAAAAUAGAUCUUUCACUGUUGUUUUUGUUUGUUGAUUCGAUUCUACCUUUCUGAAUUCAUUUUUUCCUGUUAAAAUAAAACUCCUUUUUAUCGACCACUCCUUUCUUGUUUUAUAGUUAUACUUUUACCACAAAUUUCCACGGCUACUUGUAUUGUUUUCUGUUGUGUCUUACAGUUAAAUAAGUCCUUCUCUGUUGCCUCGAAAAGUAUAGCAGUGGUAGCAUAUAUGACACUCCAAAAAGGUGCUUUUACUAGCAAAUCAGGCAAAGGAAUUGGACUAAGCACAUGUUUUCUGUUGCAGUCAUUUCCACUCUUCACCGUGCGUUCCUAUGCCAUUUCUUUUCUGAAAUCAUGUGGAGAAGAGUCUCCUAAAUAUGACACUUCCACUUUUGCAAAUGAGCUAAGGGACAUUGAGCAACUUGUGCUACUGAUUAUUUUUGUUUGCUCUUUUUCUACUUAGUUUAACAUCUAUUGCUAUCCUUUCUGUUGGCAUAACUUUAAUGUUUACAGAUUCAAAUGCUUAGUCAAUAUUAGAAGAAUUUGUAGCAAACACUUUGUACUUUCUCCUAUUGUGGCAGUGUUAUUUUGGCAAUUGUGAAAUUCAAGAGUUGAAGCUAUUAAGGUAGAUAAGGAAUGUUGAUUUAGAUUAUUUGAAGAAUGCAAAGUUCAAGUUGAGCUUGUAGCUUGAGACAGGUUAAGGCUUUCAUAUGUUCUAUAAAAUAUUUUUUUUGCUAAUUUAACAUUCAGUUAUAUUUAAUAUAGUCUUAAAUGAGAAUGUGAUAGUAGUACUAAGUACUAAAUGUGAUUUUUUGUUGCCAGAAGUAGUUGUGUAAUAUUCUUUCUAGUCAUAAGCAAUUACAUUUUUUUAUGCUCAUAUUCAGUUUAAACUCAUUUACCAACGUGAUCAAUUCAGUUUUACUCAGUAUCUACCUUACUACUUUCUUCAUCCUUAGUUUUUCUAUUUUUACAUCUGCGCUACUUACGUUGUUUUCAAAAUAGAGUGUACACCUGGUUAGUCAAUUUCUUCUUAGGCAUAAUGUUUUAACUACACAUUAAAGUGAUACUCUUCUAGAUCUUAAGAUAUGCACAUUUAGUGUUCCAGAGAGCUACUUUAAGGAGUUUUGUGCUUUAGAUUCUGUUGAUCAUAUGUAAAAGUCUUAUGUACUUGGGCUAUGUGAAUCAGAUGAGAGGAUAAAGGCUACUUAGAGUGGUUCAUUUGACUGUUGAUUUUUAUUUUAUCUUUCUUAGUUUUUUUCAUAACUAAUAUAUAACAUCUCUUAUCUUUCACCUAAAUGCAGUUGUUACAACUCUUACCAAAGAGGAUAUAAUAAGGGAUAAGGUAUGUGUCUUUGUCAGCAAGGCAUAGUGGUGUCAUCAACUUUUCCAUGUUGGUCUGGUAGAUCUUUCCAACGGACUAUAUUUUCGAUUCGGCAUAGACUAAUUGGCAUGUGUAUUGCUUGAAAAAAAUAUUUCUCUUUUUGGAUCUAUGGUAUUUUCAUUAUAUCUAAGAUCAUGCAAAAGAGCUUUCUGACAAAUUUUUAUCCUUGCAGUGCAAUUGGACUACAGUAUAGUCUCUUUGGUAUUCAUGGAAUUAUUUGACGCUUGACACAGGUUAUUUGCUAAAACUAUUUGGAGGUAUUAUACUAACCCUGCAGAACUCUUUUAUAUAACCUUUUGUCAAUAUGAUUAUUUUAGUGUUCAGCUAUGUCUAUAGUGCAAAAUACUGUUGAGCUAAUUAUGAGACUUGCAACUAAUGUGCUUCAUGAUCUACAAGUGUUUUCAUCACAACUCGAUUCCUAAAUUAUAGUUUAUUUUAUUAUUUACUGAAAUCCUGUUGUUAUAUGAUUUCCGCAUAUUAUGACAUCUUGUUCAUUAACAACCUUUCCUAUGUGUUGGAUUCACUUGCACUUAAUGUUAAGUGACUGUGUUUUAGCCUGCAAAACAGUUGUCUCUGAUAUUUACAUCAGAUAGCCAUAUUAUUCUUCUGUUCUUAUCAUUCUAUAGUUGGAACAAUAGAAGUUACUUGACUAAUCCUUGUUUUCCUAAUAUCUGGUAAUAAUUGUAGGGUUCAUUUACGCACAAUAGACAGUUGGACUGCCUAAUGUCAGCGACGCCCAGGAAGAUCAACAAACUAUUCUGCUCCUCAUGCUAACAUAAAAAGGAGAAAUAAUAGUUCAGUCCUUUUCACAAGUAGAAAAUUAUAUGUGGGCAACUUCACUUGAUAUGCAAUUCAUAUUCCUUGG